AUGGCCCUAUCAUAUCGAAGCACUUAUUUCCGUACGAUCACCGAAGUUAAGCAACGUCGAGACUGGUCAGUACGUAGAUGGGUGACAGCUUGGGGAUACCCGCUGCUGUAAG